rnacentral:ncRNA from 1 species
UUAACUGGACUACGUUAUUUGGGUCAAGACACCUACAGAUACUCCUCAAGUCUGUAGCCCUGUCGUUAGUCAUUAAACAAUUCUUAGAGUCAGGGAAUCGUGUGACUAGCUGAACAAGCCUUGAUAACUUUGACGGAGAGGAUCAACCUGUUUUG